rfam:TPA: Bos taurus chromosome 15, whole genome shotgun sequence.
UCCCUUGUAGCUCAGUUGGUAAAGACUCUGCCUGCAAUGCAGGAGACCUGGGUUCAAUUCCUGGGUUGGGAA